rnacentral:rRNA from 1 species
CCUACGGGAGGCAGCAGUGAGGAAUAUUGGACAAUGGGCGCAAGCCUGAUCCAGCCAUGCCGCGUGCAGGAAGACGGUCCUAUGGAUUGUAAACUGCUUUUAUACAGGAAGAAACACCUCUACGUGUAGAGACUUGACGGUACUGUAUGAAUAAGCAUCGGCUAACUCCGUGCCAGCAGCCGCGGUAAUACGGAGGAUGCAAGCGUUAUCCGGAAUCAUUGGGUUUAAAGGGUCCGUAGGCGGUUUAAUAAGUCAGUGGUGAAAGCCCAUCGCUCAACGAUGGAACGGCCAUUGAUACUGUUAAACUUGAAUUAUUAGGAAGUAACUAGAAUAUGUAGUGUAGCGGUGAAAUGCUUAGAGAUUACAUGGAAUACCAAUUGCGAAGGCAGGUUACUACUAAUAUAUUGACGCUGAUGGACGAAAGCGUGGGGAGCGAACAGGAUUAGAUACCCUGGUAGUCCACGCCGUAAACGAUGGAUACUAGCUGUUCGGAGCAAUCUGAGUGGCUAAGCGAAAGUGAUAAGUAUCCCACCUGGGGAGUACGUUCGCAAGAUGAAACUUANAGAGUAGNGAGNGNGAGAGNGACGAGACGACGAGGAGGAGG